UGGAUUGGUCAUGAUAAUGACACCAUGAUGGUGUUUGAGUUAUGUAUGAUGAAGACGUCUCUGGAAGUCUGAGGUGCAG
ensembl:snoRNA